rnacentral:rRNA from 1 species
AUUGAACGCUGGCGGAAUGCUUUACACAUGCAAGUCGAACGGCAGCACGGGGGCAACCCUGUUGGCGAGUGGCGAACGGGUGAGUAAUACAUCGGAACUUGCUCGGCCGUGGGGGAUAACGUAUCGACAUUUACGCUAAUACCGCAAACGAUCUUAGGAUCAAAGCGGGGGACCUUCGGGCCUUGCGCCAUCGGACACACCGCUGUCAGAUUAGGUAGUUGGCGGGGUCAAGGCCUACCAAGCCGACGAACUGUAGCUGGUCUGAGAGGAUGACCAGCCACACUGGGACUGAGACACGGCCCAGACACCUACGGGAGGCAGCAGUGGGGAAUUUUGGACAAUGGGCGCAAGCCUGAUCCAGCCAUACCGCGUGCAGGACGAAGGCCUUCGGGUUGUAAAAUGCUUUUGUAUGGAACGAAAAGGAUCUGGCUAAUACCUGGGGCUCAUGACGGUACCGUAAGAAUAAGCACCGGCUAACUACGUG